GCUCCUGGCUCAGGAUGAACGCUAGCUACAGGCUUAACACAUGCAAGUCGAGGGGCAGCAUGAACUUAGCUUGCUAAGUUUGAUGGCGACCGGCGCACGGGUGAGUAACACGUAUCCAACCUGCCGAUGACUCGGGGAUAGCCUUUCGAAAGAAAGAUUAAUACCCGAUGGCAUAGUUCUUCCGCAUGGUAGAACUAUUAAAGGAUUUCGGUCAUCGAUGGGGAUGCGUUCCAUUAGGUUG
rnacentral:rRNA from 1 species